rnacentral:tRNA from 1 species
CCCCGUCGUAGUCCAGGCGGGCAGCGUCGUGCUCGACGACGAGCGCGGAGCCGGUCGCGUACGGCUGUUCGACCCGGCGCGGGGGCGGC